rnacentral:rRNA from 1 species
GGAAUAUUGGACAAUGGGCGCAAGCCUGAUCCAGCCAUGCCGCGUGGAUGAUGAAGGCCCUAGGGUUGUAAAGUCCUUUCGGCGGUGAAGAUAAUGACGGUAGCCGGAGAAGAAGCCCCGGCUAACUUCGUGCCAGCAGCCGCGGUAAUACGAAGGGGGCUAGCGUUGUUCGGAAUUACUGGGCGUAAAGCGCACGUAGGCGGAUUGUUUAGUGAGGGGUGAAAUCCCAGGGCUCAACCCUGGAACUGCCUCUCAUACUGGCAAUCUCGAGUCCGAGAGAGGUGAGUGGAAUUCCGAGUGUAGAGGUGAAAUUCGUAGAUAUUCGGAGGAACACCAGUGGCGAAGGCGGCUCACUGGCUCGGUACUGACGCUGAGGUGCGAAAGCGUGGGGAGCAAA